GAUCCUGGCUCAGGAUGAACGCUGGCGGCGUGCUUAACACAUGCAAGUCGAACGAAGCACCUUGAUUUGAUUCUUCGGAUGAAGAUCUUGGUGACUGAGUGGCGGACGGGUGAGUAACGCGUGGGUAACCUGUCUCAAAGAGGGGGACAACAGUUGGAAACGACUGCUAAUACCGCAUAAGCCCACGGCUCGGCAUCGAGCAGGGGGAAAAGGAGCAAUCCGCUUUGAGAUGG
rnacentral:rRNA from 1 species